rnacentral:tmRNA from 1 species
GGGGAUGUAAUGGUUUCGACAUGAUACCAGAAAGAUGAAUAGCAAGUAGUGGAUUCUCGUUGGCCACUUAAAAAAACGGGAGAUUAAAAAUAAACGCUGAUAAUAAUAGAGAAUUAGCAUUAGCUGCCUAAUUGCAGCUACGCUUUCCUAGGUAGUCCCACCUAUUUAGAGAAAGUGUCAUAAUAGUGGGAAACGAAGCUACUUUUGCUUUUAAAGUAGGGGGUAUUGAAAAAGCUUUCUUUCUUUUUAACCUGUUUGUCGGUGAAAAAGAAGGGAAUAAAAAAGACAAACUAAACUUGUAGAAGUUCAUCUGGAAAGUAUGAUGGACAGGAGUUCGACUCUCCUCAUCUCCACCA